ACCACAGGUGCUGGGUCACAUACACCCACUUAAGUCUCUUCAGCUGACAAGAACCUGAUUUAAUGCACUGGGUGAUAACUGAACACCUACCUGUGGGCUAGGUUUGCUUUAAUCACCAUCAAUAUUGCUUGAACCAAUCCCCUGCUGAGGACUUCUUUGAGGACUCAACCACCCCCACAGUGACUGGGGAGGUACCAGCUCCAACCCCCAGACCCCGACCAGAUUCUUCCGGUGCCUGAUGGCCUUUGGUGUCUUCAAAUUGCACGGCUUCAUAUCAGAGUGAUUCCUCAUCUCCCUCAUUUCCC
ensembl:lncRNA